rnacentral:rRNA from 1 species
UACGGAGGGUGCAAGCGUUGUCCGGAAUCACUUGGCGUAAAGGGCGCGUAGGCGGCCCGGUAAGUAGGGGGUGAAAUCCUGCGGCUUAACCGCAGGGCUGCCUUCUAAACUGUCGGGCUCGAGCACGGUAGAGGCAGAUGGAAUUCCCGGUGUAGCGGUGGAAUGCGUAGAGAUCGGGAAGAACAUCAGUGGCGAAGGCGGCCUGCUGGGCUGUUGCUGACGCUGAGGCGCGACAGCGUGGGGGAGCAAACAGG